AGAAUCAACGCUGGCGGCGUGCCUAACACAUGCAAGUCGAGCGCGAAAGGGGAGCAAUCCCCGAGUAGAGCGGCGAACGGGUGAGUAACGCGUGGGUAAUCUACCUCCGAGUGGGGAAUAACAGCGGGAAACUGCUGCUAAUACCGCAUGACAUCGUCGAGCCUUCGGGCAUGACGAUCAAAGCCGGGGACCGCAAGGCCUGGCGCUUGGAGACGAGCCCGCGUCCGAUUAGCUAGUUGGCGGGUAAUGGCCCACCAAGGCGACGAUCGGUA
rnacentral:rRNA from 1 species